UCAAUCAUCCUCAGGAUACCCAGUGCCUCAGUGGCUGGGAUAUUUCCUGAGCUGUGGGAAAGGUGUCCUCUAGAUGUUACAAAUUUGAUAGAAACAAUCAAAAUAAAAUCUUUAACUGUCCUGAGGGUUGCUUUGGUGAUAAAGUUAGUGCCUGGUGAGAUGUCCAAUGCUCUCCCAUCCACUUUAUUACAGAUAGGAAGUGCAAAGUUCAGCUGCCAGGAUCCUCAGGAGGGACAUCCUACCUGGGCUGACAGAAGUGCUUGUUUUCCACCUCACAGGUUUCUCAAAUGGUGGGUCAGCUUUGCUUGUGUUUAUUAUUCUGAAAGCAACCAUAAGGGGCAGCAAAGCCCAAAGGGAUGAAGAAACGUGGUGAAUUCUGCUAUGAUUUACAUGGAACUCUGUAAGACAGAGGUGCAGAGUUUUAUGCAGUCAGGUAUGCGUGGGUUUUAAGGAGAUGAAGAAACCUUUGAAAUGACCCGCUUUUGUGAAAUUUGGCUUUUCUUCCCUGUGGUGGCCUUUGUCCUGAAGAGCACGACAUUUCACAGCGAAUAGCAGGGACAUAUUGAAGAGGAGAUGGGAUGAAGAAGCAGCCAAAUUUUUCCUUCAGCCUCGCUGGAAAGCAGCUAUGAAAGGAGAAACAAAGGCUGUGGCUGGCCACACCUCGUGAGGACGGCAGCACCAAAGGGGCCGUGGCAAGCUCCAGCUCUCCCCUCCCUACACCAGGCACUGGUGCAGAGCGUGGCUUGCCCGGCUCGGGCAUUGUAAUUCUGCUACAGCCGCGCGUGCCAUCAGAAUUCAGCUGUCAUAUUCUGCGAGCUGGAAUUCAUCAAAGCAUACUCACCGGCCUUUUAAUUAGUGUUAGAUUAGCAUUUUAAGAUAUGGGUAAAUUCCCAAGUCUAACUUUGUUUAAAGGUGCAUAUUCAAUACAGUAGCCAGGAAAUCAUGUAUUCUCAUGGACUUACUACCUUAGUAAUGUAAUGCUGUGAGGGAAAGAGGCAGAUAAUACUUCCGACAAAUAUUAAAUGCUAUUUGUAUAGCUACUGCCUGUGAAUUUAAACAGAAAAUCAUUCCUCACGCCUUGCUAUGAAACACACGCAAAUUUCUUUUGUGGCUUUCAUGUUUCAUUAAAGCUUUGUAUGUGGAAGAGAGGAAAAUCUAAAUUGCUACUUAAUUAAAGGGAUACUGUCAGAUUAAGUAUAUUUUGAAGAAAUGAACUUUGCUUUUUACCUGGGAUGUCAGUAACACCUAGGAUUAUUAAAAAUGAAAUAUUUUUUAACAUCUAAUAUACUUACCAUUUAUCAACCUGAGUCUGUUCUUCUCUUUGGCUGAAACUGAAACAGUCUCUUGCUUUUCCCUGUAGUCAGGUUCAUUGUCUGGAUCCUAUUAACUAACUCAAUAUUGGAGGUUGUAAAUACCAGGAGGUGCAGCUUACAUCUAAACCAAAAAUAAAAAAUAAAAUAAAAUAAAUGUAUGGCUCUUGCUUUAUUCCAUUAAAAUAUUUCUCUGGACCCGAACAUCAUGUAAUAUAUGCUCCUUUAAUCACAUUUUGAUCACCACACAGCAUG